rnacentral:rRNA from 1 species
CGGACAUGGCGCCUGCCUAUACUGCAAGUCGAGCGAACAGAUAAGGAGCUUGCUCCUUUGACGUUAGCGGCGGACGGGUGAGUAACACGUGGGUAACCUACCUAUAAGACUGGAAUAACUCCGGGAAACCGGGGCUAAUGCCGGAUAACAUUUAGAACCGCAUGGUUCUAAAGUGAAAGAUGGUUUUGCUAUCACUUAUAGAUGGACCCGCGCCGUAUUAGCUAGUUGGUAAGGUAAUGGCUUACCAAGGCAACGAUACGUAGCCGACCUGAGAGGGUGAUCGGCCACACUGGAACUGAGACACGGUCCAGACUCCUACGGGAGGCAGCAGUAGGGAAUCUUCCGCAAUGGGCGAAAGCCUGACGGAGCAACGCCGCGUGAGUGAUGAAGGGUUUCGGCUCGUAAAACUCUGUUAUUAGGGAAGAACAAACGUGUAAGUAACUGUGCACGUCUUGACGGUACCUAAUCAGAAAGCCACGGCUAACUACGUGCCAGCAGCCGCGGUAAUACGUAGGUGGCAAGCGUUAUCCGGAAUUAUUGGGCGUAAAGCGCGCGUAGGCGGUUUCUUAAGUCUGAUGUGAAAGCCCACGGCUCAACCGUGGAGGGUCAUUGGAAACUGGGAGACUUGAGUGCAGAAGAGGAAAGUGGAAUUCCAUGUGUAGCGGUGAAAUGCGCAGAGAUAUGGAGGAACACCAGUGGCGAAGGCGACUUUCUGGUCUGUAACUGACGCUGAUGUGCGAAAGCGUGGGGAUCAAACAGGAUUAGAUACCCUGGUAGUCCACGCCGUAAACGAUGAGUGCUAAGUGUUAGGGGGUUUCCGCCCCUUAGUGCUGCAGCUAACGCAUUAAGCACUCCGCCUGGGGGAGUACGACCGCAAGGUUGAAACUCAAAGGAAUUGACGGGGACCCGCACAAGCGGUGGAGCAUGUGGUUUAUUCGAAGCAACGCGAAGAACCUUACCAAUCUUGACAUCCUUUGACCACUCUAGAGAUAGGAGCUUU